GGGGAUGUAGCUUAGUGGGAAAGCAUUUGCCUGGCAUGUACAAGGCUGACUUCAAUCCUCAGUACCCCCG
rnacentral:tRNA from 1 species